rnacentral:rRNA from 1 species
AGAAUCAACGCUGGCGGCGUGCCUAACACAUGCAAGUCGAACGAGAAAGCUGGUAGCAAUACCGGUGAGUAAAGUGGCGUACGGGUGAGUAACACGUGGAUAACCUACCUUCGAGUGGGGAAUAACCCUGGGAAACCGGGGCUAAUACCGCAUAAUAUCCUGAUGCGAUGGCAACGGGAUUGAAUCCUGGAAACGGGGCUCAAAGAGGGGUCCGCGGCUGAUUAGCUAGUUGGUGAGGUAAUGGCCCACCAAGGCUAUGAUCGGUAGCCGGCCUGAGAGGGCGGACGGCCACACUGGAACUGAAACACGGUCCAGACUCCUACGGGAGGCAGCAGUGGGGAAUUUUGCGCAAUGGGGGAAACCCUGACGCAGCAACGCCGCGUGGACGAUGAAGCUUCUUGGAGUGUAAAGUCCUUUCGGCAGGGACGAACUGGGCAACCAGCGGACGGUACCUGAAGAAGAAGCCCCGGCUAACUCCGCGCCAGCAGCCGCGGUAA